AACGCCCGCCGCUGCCGCGGUCUGCCCAACGCCCGCCGCCGCCUCUGUCUCCAGAAGCACCCGCGGCCCGGAGAAUGCCCGCCAACCGCCGCCGUGUGGGUCGCUCCUUGCCUCAUGGGUUGGUCUGGAGGUCCAACGACGGGGAGGCCCAUCGCGGAACGAGGCGGGGACAUGCCCGCCUGAGCGCGGGGGACGGGUGCGUCCGUUUCUGAUGUCGUGGAUGAACUGAGCGCCGGCGUGGUGGUGGACUGGGGCACUGCGCCAAGUGCGAGGAGCGCCUUGGAAGAAGCACACCAUGAUGGGUUCACCACGACACCAUUUCUCCAUGCUCCAAUAGAAGUUUGGACUCAUGGCGGAGCUGUGCGGCUAGAUGAUUGGAUCUGAUUGAUGCAGUUGAGUCCAGGUAUUGCAUCCCAUUGCUGAUUCUAUCACUAUCAACAAAACGAUCUGGAUCCGGUGCUUUUUGUGACACGUCAUGCUUGCAGGUACAACUUAUGUACAUCUUAUGCAUAUACAAUUUAGAUGUAUCUUUAUGUUUAGUUCUGAGAUGAACCACUUCUUCUUGGUAUGUAGUGAGAAUGAGCGAGGUAGCACAUGUUUUAUAUCAGUUCAUACAGCACAGUGCAAUGUAUUUUCUAGAUAUGCAUAAAUAAGGUGUCACCCAUAGUGUUAGCAUGGGCAAGCUACUAUC